rnacentral:rRNA from 1 species
GCUCAGAUUGAACGCUGGCGGAAUGCUUUACACAUGCAAGUCGAGCGGCAGCGCGGGGGCAACCCUGGCGGCGAGCGGCGAACGGGUGAGUAACACAUCGGAACGUACCCAGUAGUGGGGGAUAACUAACCGAAAGGUUAGCUAAUACCGCAUACGCCCUGAGGGGGAAAGUGGGGGAUCGCAAGACCUCACGUUAUUGGAGCGGCCGAUGUCGGAUUAGCUAGUUGGUGAGGUAAAGGCUCACCAAGGCGACGAUCCGUAGCGGGUCUGAGAGGACGGCCCGCCACACUGGAACUGAGACACGGUCCAGACUCCUACGGGAGGCAGCAGUGGGGAAUUUUGGACAAUGGGGGCAACCCUGAUCCAGCCAUUCCGCGUGAGUGAAGAAGGCCUUCGGGUUGUAAAGCUCUUUCGGCAGGAACGAAACGGUUUAGGUUAAUACCCUGAGCUAAUGACGGUACCUGAAGAAGAAGCACCGGCUAACUACGUGCCAGCAGCCGCGGUAAUACGUAGGGUGCGAGCGUUAAUCGGAAUUACUGGGCGUAAAGCGUGCGCAGGCGGUUUUAUAAGACAGAUGUGAAAUCCCCGGGCUUAACCUGGGAACUGCGUUUGUGACUGUAAGACUCGAGUGUGGCAGAGGGGGGUGGAAUUCCACGUGUAGCAGUGAAAUGCGUAGAGAUGUGGAGGAACACCGAUGGCGAAGGCAGCCCCCUGGGUCAACACUGACGCUCAUGCACGAAAGCGUGGGUAGCAAACAGGAUUAGAUACCCUGGUAGUCCACGCCCUAAACGAUGCGAACUAGGUGUUGGAGAAGGAGACUUCUUUAGUACCGCAGCUAACGCGUGAAGUUCGCCGCCUGGGGAGUACGGGUCGCAG